UGGGGAAUAUUGGACAAUGGGCGAAAGCCUGAUCCAGCCAUGCCGCGUGUGUGAAGAAGGUCUUCGGAUUGUAAAGCACUUUAAGUUGGGAGGAAGGGCAGUAAGCGAAUACCUUGCUGUUUUGACGUUACCGACAGAAUAAGCACCGGCUAACUCUGUGCCAGCAGCCGCGGUAAUACAGAGGGUGCAAGCGUUAAUCGGAAUUACUGGGCGUAAAGCGCGCGUAGGUGGUUCGUUAAGUUGGAUGUGAAAGCCCCGGGCUCAACCUGGGAACUGCAUCCAAAACGGGCGAGCUAGAGUAGGGCAGAGGGUGGUGGAAUUUCCUGUGUAGCGGUGAAAUGCGUAGAUAUAGGAAGGAACACCAGUGGCGAAGGCGACCACCUGGGCUCAUACUGACACUGAGGUGCGAAAGCGUGGGGAGCAAACAGG
rnacentral:rRNA from 1 species